CCCAGACAGCCAGGAUGUUGGCUUAGAAGCAGCCAUCAUUUAAAGAAAGCGUAAUAGCUCACUGGUCGAGUCGGCCUGCGCGGAAGAUGUAACGGGGCUAAACCAUGCACCGAAGCUGCGGCAGCGACACUCAGGUGUUGUUGGGUAGGGGAGCGUUCUGUAAGCCUGCGAAGGUGGCCUGUGAGGGUUGCUGGAGGUAUCAGAAGUGCGAAUGCUGACAUAAGUAACGAUAAAGCGGGUGAAAAGCCCGCUCGCCGGAAGACCAAGGGUUCCUGUCCAACGUUAAUCGGGGCAGGGUGAGUCGACCCCUAAGGCGAGGCCGAAAGGCGUAGUCGAUGGGAAACGGGUUAAUAUUCCCGUACUUGGUGUUACUGCGAAGGGGGGACGGAGAAGGCUAUGUUGGCCGGGCGACGGUUGUCCCGGUUUAAGCGUGUAGGUGUGUGUUCCAGGUAAAUCCGGUUCACUUUAACACUGAGGCGUGACGACGAGGCACUACGGUGCUGAAGCAACAAAUGCCCUGCUUCCAGGAAAAGCCUCUAAGCAUCAGGUAACAUCAAAUCGUACCCCAAACCGACACAGGUGGUCAGGUAGAGAAUAC
rnacentral:rRNA from 1 species